AGGGCCAGCAGCAUGGUUCCCAUUCACCAGUCUGUUUAACCUUUAGUAACAAUAAACCCGGUUUUCUUAUAUUCAAUCCUUGUUUGUCGACUUCAUGUUACUUCCCUCGAGCCGGGUCGUAACAUAUUGGGGGCUCGUCCGGGAUCAAUCUCGAUCAGUUUUGCGGAGUUAAUUAUUUCAAAUUUUCCCCUAGACAGAGUAACUUGGUAUGUUUUGGUGGUGUUUGGCAGUGUGGCUAUGAGCAGCUUCUUUUCAUGGUGAGUAUGGUGAGUAUUGAAUCUGAGUGCUAUGAUUUUAAGUUGUGAGUGAUCCCCCCUGGUUAGUUAGGGAGUGUACCAGCUGGGCAGAGCAGUCUGUCCUUCCAUCGGUACACUAUUUGUUAUUAUGCCUUCUUUAUUUUCGAGGUAAUCCUGGGUGGAGACGUGUUCUCUGGUGGGGGCGAGCAUUUCAGGGCCUUGGUCACAUGGCUGAGGUUAACUGAGCUUUGUUUUAAAGAAGCCUCGAGCCCGGCACGCCUCAGAAGACCAUUAGGGUUAGUUUAAAGUUAGGCAGAUACCAGGGGGCUUGCUUAGAUGAUCAUUUGCACUUGGAGGCUUGCUCACUGUGCUCAGCAGUAAUUGAUUUGUAAAGUUGUUCGAGUUAGUGAUUGCUUUGUGGGGACAGUUGUGGUAACGUGUCCAGGGUCCUAGCUUCGUUUUGUACAGCUUGUGGAUUUGUCAGGUGUGGUGUGUAGCUUGACUUUGUUGGCCAUUUCUCCCGGAGGUUGCUGUUGCCUUGGUCUUGAUUACCAGCAGGGUCCAUUUUUUUUGUAAUGAGUUCUGUAUGGGUAACAUUUUGUGCUACUUAGUAGCUAGAUGGGAGUUACUAGGCCCAUCCCUCUUAUCAUGGUUUCAACAAUCAUUUAGUAGAAGGGAUUUGUGAUAAGCUGUAGUGUUGGAUGAGGUGUGUACUGGUGUAAGUUGAAACCUUGGGUAAAAGUGAUUGGUGUAUUUUGUUAUUUAUGUUUGGUUACUGAAGUUAUCUAGUAUGGCGGCUAUUGAUGACUUUAUUAGUGCACCCUCAGAGGUGUUGCUUUAUCAGCUCACUAAAGAACAGCUCCUUAGCCUUGCCAGUCAUUAUGAUAUUGAGAUUGCCAGUGGUGAUAAACGCCUUGAAGAUAGUUUAAGAGAAGCACUUAAGGCUAGCCUAGCCGAAGGAGGCGUCCUAAAGACGUCGGCUCUACCAGCAUAUCAGCAUCAACUUGUUCUUCCUCAAAUGUCAGAUGCUGUGCUGUGUGGAGUUCAGGUUGAAGGAGUUGGCGUUUCGAGAAUUAGAACUAGAGGAUAAAGAGAAGAGCGUAUCCUUAAGGAAAGACGAAUGUACCUAGAACAUGAGCGUUUCCUGAAAGAGCUUGAAUUUAAGCAUGCUGCCUUGAGCUCAUCCAAUUCUGCCCCGGCUCAGUUUAAUGUAGCAAGCAACAUCAGACUAGUACCUCCAUUCGCUGAGAAAAAUGUUGAGAGGUACUUUGCUCAUUUUGAACGAGUGGCUACUGUUUCAGACUGGCCAAUGCAUGCCUGGACAUCGCUUUUGCAAAGCGUUUUGGUGGGGAAAGCACAAGACGCUUACACUGCUUUGAACAUUGAGGAUAUCAAGGACUACGAAAAAGUUAAAGGCACUAUUCUAAGAUCUUAUGAGCUCGUUCCUGAGGCGUACUGCCAGCGUUUUAGAGGCCUCAGUAAGCUGGAUGAACAAACUUAUGUUGAGUUUGCAAGAGAAAAGGAGAUCAGUUUUAGUUCUUGGUGCAAGUCACAGGAGGCGGAAACUAAGGAAGAUCUUAGACAAUUAGUUCUGCUGGAGGACUUUAAAAAUUGUCUGCCUACUGACGUGUGUACUUAUAUCAAUCAGCAAGAAAUGACCACUCUUGAUAAGGCUGCUGUCCUAGCAGACAAGUAUGUAUUGACGCUCAAGGUAAACUUUGAUAACGACCAAGGUGAGCGAGAAAGAAGGACUGGUUUUAGUAGACCUCGGUUUCCAACCACUUCCUCCACCUGCUCAGAACCUGCUCGGUGGGAGGAGUCCCACCGUUUCUACAACUUUCGCUAGAAGAUCGGCUACUGUGAGUACUCCGUUAGAGAAGACUUGUUUCUAUUGCAAGAACAGUGGUCACUUCAUUGCCGACUGCCCUGUCUUGAGUAAGAAACAUGAGUCUUAUAAGCCUGUUGCCUUACUAAAAACUGUGAAAAAUUGUGCUGUCAUCCAAGACAUGGACCAAUCCGCUCAAAAGAGUGAGCUGCCUGGUUCUUCGUCUUUCCUUAUGGAUGGUUGUGUUUCUCUUGUCACUGAUCCUUCAAUCAAGCAACCGAUUAAGAUCUGGAGAGAUAGUGGAGCUUUUCAGUCUUUGAUUCUACAGGACCUCCUACUGUUUACUGACCAGUCCAAGUUGGGUUCCAGUGCCCUCGUCCAAGGGUUUGGGGGGGGGUUAUCUGUCUCUGCCUAUGCAUAAACUUACCCUUGAAACUGGUCUUGUCUCUGGGGAUGUAGCUGUAGCUGUGUGUUCAAGCCUUCCCAUUAAAGGGGUGUCCUUCAUCUUGGGGAAUGACCUAGCCUGUGGUAGGGUGCUUACGGCUCCUGAGGUUGUCCCUUUUCCUGUAGUGUCAAAACGCCCAGAUGAUCUUCAGAAGCCCAACCAGAAGAUUCCUUCAGCUCCCUUACCUCCUAUCCCUGCCAUAGGGGAGCCUUUUGAGCGUAUCUUGAUCGAUUGUGUUGGUCCCCUUCCCCGUACCAAGUCAGGUUACCGGUACUUAUUGACAAUCAUGUGUACAGCUACCCGGUUUCCUGAAGCUAUCCCUCUAAGUAGGAUCAACGCUUCAGCCAUUUCCAAGGCCCUUAUUAAGUUCUUUGCAGUGUUUGGCCUGCCGAGAGAUAUCCAGACCGACCAGGGUUCGAAUUUUAUGUCCCGUGUGUUCUCGUAGGUUCUCCAGCAGUUGUCUAUUGAGCACCAGACUUCAUCUGCUUGUCAUCCAGAGUCUCAAGGAGCCCUUGAGCGGUUUCUUCAGACCCUAAAGUCCAUGUUACGAGGCUACUGUAAGGAGUUUGAGAGAGAUUGGGAUGAGGGAACCCCUUUGCUCCUCUUUGCAGCUAGAGAGGUCACUCAGGGGUCCCUUGGCUUUAGUCCAGCUGAACUGGUGUUCGGUCAUACUGUGAGGGGCCCUAUGAAACUUUUGAAAGAGAUGGUUGGCAAACCAGUUCCCCUCCACAAAUUUGCUAGUCUUUGUUUGCCAUUUUCGGUCAAAGCUGAACAAGGCAUGUGAGCUGGCGAGGCAGAACUUGGGGGAAGCCCAAGGACGGAUGAAGGGGUGUUAUGACCAAAGGGCAAAGCAUCGGGCGUUCUCUCCUGGUGACAAGGGGUUGCUGCUGCCACUUCCAGGGUCUGCUUUACAAGCUCGAUGAUGCGGUCCAUAUAAUAUCCAUAUCUGAUGCGAUGGAGUUUGUUCCUGCAGGGCUCUAACCCGGAAAUAAAGCGCAUCCGUGGAAGGGACAAUGUGCUCGCAGAUGCUCUGUCAAGGUCAUGAGUGUCAUAAGCAAAUGUGAUAUAGCUUUUCAUUUAUUUUGUUAUUUUGAUUUGUGUAACUUGGCGGUUGCCUAGAGCAACCGUUUUAAGGGGGGGGGUGUUAUGUGCAGAUCUGCUCCAUGUUUUGCAGUACUCCCGGAGCUCCUCCUUCAGCCCCACCUUCUCCUCGUUACCUGGCACCUGCUGUUGCCUUUAAAGCCUGGGAGGCUUCACUCACUCGGGUCUCUAGCCAGGGCCAGCAGCAUGGUUCCUAUUCACCAGUCUGUUUAACCUUUAGUAACAAUAAACCCGGUUUCCUUAUAUUUAAUCCUUGUUUGUCGACUUCAUGUUACUUCCCUCGAGCCGGGUCGUAACAGUGCCCACAAAUUAUUAUUCUGUGGCCACGAAUUGUUAUUGUGUGGCCAUGAAUUAUUAUUCUGUGGCCACGAAUUAAUAAAUAUUCACCCAUGUCACCAGAGGGGCACCGUAAUUUCACCUCACUAGUUGGUGAGGAUUAAUUAAUUAUUACAAAUAUACAAGUUAAUCCAUUCACGCGAUUACGUGUUAGUGGCGGGAUCAAACAGCCCCCGGGUGUUUGAUCAGACUUUAAAGGGCAGCGGCGGAAGUCAGGUAGAAGGAGCAUCGGACAGACGGACAACUAUUACCAAGUUAUACAAGAGUCAAAUGUAAGUGAACAAUGCAUGACUUGAAUUCUUUAGGCAUGUCCUCUGCUAUGGACAGAAUCUCUGUUUAUUAUUAGGGGUCCAAGCCAACGGGUUGGAUCCCUAUUGUUUUUAUUAUUAAAAAGCACGUGCCCAGGCCUCAGCCUGUCCUCCGAGAUGUAUUGAAUCUCCGGUUAUUAUUAUGAUUAUUGCAUUAUUAAUUAUUGAACAAUAUCGGCGCGUCAGCUUCCUAGUUGGUGAGGUUUAAUCCAUUAUUACAAAUACACAAGUUAACCAAUUUACGUGAUAGUGCCCUCAAAUGCCUGUGUGUGAUCUGAUCUUUAAUUCAUUAUAACAAAUAUACAUUUGUUAUCUAGUUUAGUUAAACCAUUACGUAUUUAACUAAUAUCUCAUGACUUUUACAGAUGACAAAACCGAAGACAAUUGGGAAAUGUCCCGUUUGCGGGAAAGUUUUAUCUUUUGUUGCAAAACAUCUCAGGGAGAUCCAUUCCCUCCAGAACGUCCGGGAGAGGAGCAUCCUGAACUUCCUGGCCACAGGCAGGACUUUGAUCCCCGGCGGACCCUGCCCCCUUCCCUUUUGUUUGCCCUAUCUCCUUAGUGUAGUGAAACACCUGAGAACUCAUUUGGAGCUUCCCAAGGUAAACGUGGAUCGGGAGAUCAAGGCCCUCAAGCGCACUACAGCAAUUAACCAGCUGGCGGCCUUGAGGGCCACUGAUCCCCAUCCACCCAUGGUCAGCACACUUGACCAGCCAGAGGACCAGGCGCAGCAGUCUGACCCGGAGGCGGGAGUAAGCAUGUGCACGAAGCGCACUUGCGUCAAUGCCCGCCUCCGGGUCCGUGAGCUCGAAAGGGAGCUGGCAGACCUCCGUACUAGGCAGCCCCAAUACAGGCCCCAAUACUAGCCCCGGAGGAGGAGGAGGAGGAAGCCCCCGGCCCCGGCCCCGGCCACGGAGGAGGAGGAGGAGGAGGAGGAAGCCCCCGGCCCCGGCCAUGGAGGAGGAGGAGGCGGAGCAGCAAACCCUGAAAGCGGUCAAGCACAAACUACCAUUUGGCACUCUUGGGAAAAAGAGCAAGCUGCAAAAAAAAUCUGCUGCUGCUAAGGAGGAGGAGGAGGAGGAAGAGAAGGAUGGAGGAGGAGGAGGAGGAGGAGGAGGCACCAGGGAUGUGGUGAGUGGGAUGGAUUAGUUCAUCAAUAAUUUUACAAAUCUUUACCAAGCGUAGAACCAAUGAGGACAUGCGGUCAUGCAAAAGUGGUGUUAAUUAUGUUUCUUUUUCGCGCAGUCGGCCUCACGGGUGUUCAUGUCCCUCCUCAAAGGGAAGAGCAGGGGCUUAACCUUGAGGAACAUAAAGUUUGGGACCUCCAUGGUUAAGAAAUAACACAUUGUGUAUUUGUGCAAGUGUGUCAAGUGUUUUCACGCUACAUUCCUCAUCAUGUGUUGAAUCUUUACAGACACUUACCUUGAGGAGUAUGGCAAAUACCUCUUCUGCCCGAAAGGGACAAAGAAGAUGAAAGAGAAUAGCGUGUCGAAGGCCAGCCGAGCAAAGGUGUUCCUCAAAUUCUUGACGCUCGGCUGGCCUUCCAUCAAAUAUUGGACUUGGGAAUUCCUUUCCCAAGUUUUUUUUUGCAAUGUCCCCCACAUAAAGACGUAGGUAGUGAAUUUUUGAUGAUGAUAAUGAUGUAGUACUCAAAACAUAUGACUAAUUACAGCCUGGUCUUUCUACAGCUACCCUGCUGCGCUGAGAGCGGCUGGCCUGGCCCCGACCACACUCGUUUUGUAUGUGGGCCAGGCCAUCUCCUUCAUGGAGUACUUCCGCGAUACCCCGGCUAAAUACUCCCGAGUGACCAACGGCCAGCUGGUCAUGGUCACCCGGGAGUUGAGAAAACUGAUGAAAGACCUCAACAGGAACGUCCUUGGCCACCAGUCCCUGGUGAAACAGGGCAAACAGUUGAGACUGGUGGCCAAGGAGGACCUGGCCAAGUGCCAGCUCCUGUCCAAGGAAAAGAUCCCCUCUCUACUCUGUGAGAGUCUCUCUGUCUCUGUCUCUGUCUGUGAAGAUGUGAAUGGCAUCUUCACUGUUUUUAAACAUGUUUUAAAAGAUUCACGUGCUCCUGUCUGGCUGGUUAGCCGUGAUAGUCCGCAGCUGUGGCUCAUAGGCUAAUUGAGCCACACCCAUUCUGGUGCUCUUUAAGAGGGCCAGAGUUUUAGACUGGAGGGGCUGGAGUUGUGCAAGUGACUCGACAGUUGUGCUGUGUUUUAAGUAAAGAGAUGCUUUUUAACAACAAUGUGUGUGAAGAACGCUCUUUUUCACUCUCUCUGUCUCUGUCUCCUCUUCCUGUGAAAAAGAAAUGUAAAUUGAAUUUGUUUAUUUAUGUGUUUAUUUCUUUGUUUUUAAUUCCAGCACAACGAGUCUGCCUUCCAUCCGGCUGGACACAUACGUUGCCUGAAGUGGACCAGAGGUGUAUGUCAAAGGCUCUUUUCAGCUGGACCACACAGCGGCAUCCAGAGCUGGACUUUAGCAGGGUGGACAAACUUUGGUGGUAUCCUCCACAGGUGCCACAGGUGCCACCAGUGAUUUUCCUUUGUUGGAAAAUUACUUUGGCCAUCCCCUGCUGCUCUGGAUGCCACGAAAGCUGUGGCAAGUCAAGCUGACCUGUCCGCAUCCAGACUGCAACAAAAAAACUUCUGACCUCAGCUGGCCUGCAUCAAAAGAUACUUUGUUGCAUCUGAGUACCUGGCCUGCAGACGAUGCAAGCGGAAGGUCAGCUCGACAUUGGCCACAGGGUGCAGUUCCCUUGCAUCCUCGCAUCUAAACUUGCAUGUGAUGUUGAGGUAGCAAGUUUGAUGCGUCAGUGAGGGCUGGGAAACGGCAGCAGCCAGAUCCAACGGAAGCUGCAGGAGCGCCAUGCUGAGGUCUGGUUGCAGAAAACAGUCCAGUAUCUGACAGCUUGCAAGGGAAUUGCCAGUACUGUCACGUCGGGCCUGAUCCUGCCUGUGACAUUUAAACCUGCACCUGUCAUGCUUACUGUCCCCAAGCACCGUUGGCUGAUGCAGGUUUAUGCCCAGGAUGUCCUCCAAAGGCUGGAGGAAAUCAAGGCAACCAUCACGUCACAGUGUGGGCGUGUGUUGAAGAUGGACUCACAAAAAAGGUCGCCCGAAAGCUGGCAGGACACAGCUAUGGCACCGCUACCUGGGCAACCAAUGUUGGCAAUGAGCAUGGACAGGUGAUCAUGUCCGUGCUCACUGCCAGCGAAGGUUAUGGUCUCGGACCAAUGAUCGAGGGCCUCAUUAGGAGAUACAGAGUGGCUCGGGUGGCUCCUCCCGAAGUGCUAUAUGUUGACCGAGACUGCUGUGGCAACACUCUUCUGAGGAGGAUGUUUGAAGAGUGGGAGCAGAUGAUCAUCCGGUUGGACAUAUGGCAUUUCAUGCGGAGGUUUGCUGUGGGUUGCACUACUGACUCUCAUCAGUUAUACGCAAGGUUCAUGAGUCGCCUCAGCCACUGCAUCUUCAUGUGGGACCAGGAUGACCUGACGGCCCUGAAGGAGGCCGAGCAUGAAGAGCUAGUAGCUGACCGGAAGCAUCCAUCCGAGGCUGAUGUGAUGCGCUUUAUCAGCCGAAGCGAGCUAGCCCUGCAUUGCAGGAGAACCACCCGCGGGACCAAGGAGACCCAGGCUCUGAUUGAAAGCCAUAUCCACGCCUAUGAUGGAGACAGGGGUCGUGACACUCUGGGAGUCCCUUUGAUCAACUCGGCCCGGAUGAGUGCGAUCCUGAAGGCCCAGUGGAAGCAUGUGGCCUGCAUCCAGGAUCCUCUGGGUGUGCAGCUGUACACACAGACGGGGACAGUAGGGAAGGGAGGGCACCGCCUGCCUACCGCUGUGCCAGAGGUUCAACAUCCCUCGAGUCAUUUCACCUGCACCUGAACCGAUUCAUCCCAGGUACACUGGCAGGUGACACCUUCUUCCAGGCGUAUCUUUUGGAUGGACGUGCGAGGUCGAAUGAGGACCGGGCUGUGGCAGCGACGACAAUAGAUGAGCAGCAGCAUUCGUACAACCAUCUUCCCCGUCACGCUGUUAACAGUCUUGCAGAGGAUGUUCUGGGCGAGAAGAUCAUCCCUUAUGUCGGGCCAAGAAAAUACACUGGUGAGCUUAUCAGAGUGGAAUAUCUCUAUGAUCAAACCGGUAAAGUUCUGCAGGACUACAAUUUGGCCAUUGAGGAGUCGGAGACCUCCGAUUUUUCUGUAGAGGGGGAUGAACGCCACGCUGAACUUGAGGAGUUUCAGGACAUCACUGUCCCCACCUUCGAGACGGAACGAACACCUGCUGCCUCCUCUCAAGCACUGGCCUCUGUGGUCCCUCCAUCACCAGUACCAACACGUCCUGCGUCCUGCACCGUGGCAACGACCUCUGUGGUCCCUCCAUCACCAGCACCAACACGUCCUGCGUCCUGCACCAUAGCAACGGCGGAUCUUCCAGCAGUUGAAGAGUCCAUUCCACAUGAUGAUUCUGUUGGACCUGACAAUAUUCAGGGGUAUGGAGCUGUGCAGGACUUGGCAGAGGUACUGUUUGGCCUCAGAGACCACCGUCUGGCCUUGACUGGAGAGGAGUGCGCCCAGAUCAUCACCCUGUGGCAGGCGUUGGGGGAGUUUGACAAGAGGAAGACCGUUUACCCGCCACGUCACCAAUAUUGCCUGAAACAGGGACGAUUCAGGGCCACUAAGAUUGUGGCACCCGGUGUGGAGAGCACCAAAAGGUGUUUCGUUGGGGCUCACUGUCCUGCAGUGGCCAGACUGCAACAGGGUGGUGGAGGCCAUCUUCAUCAGGCUGUGUGCGCUCUACCCAAGCGCUGUGCGCUGUGAUGACAGGAGGGUGUCGCGCUUCACGGUGGUGACGCGUGCUAACAAGCACAUCAGAGAGUGCGUCGUCACCAACGCGAAGGUGCUGAGUGAGACCACCAUCCAGCUGCCCGAAGUCAAUGCAGCAACAGUGACACAAUGGUUCAGCAGGCGUUGCCGAUCACAGGAGAAUGAUACUCUGAUGCAGGGUGUCCCUUCUCCAGACGCACCCAUGGCAGGACCAGAGACGCUUCCUGUGGCUUUGCAGAAAGCCACAACUCUACAUUCUGGCAAUCUGGCUGAGCCUCACCUGUUCAUUCUGCCACCAAACACUGCUGGGCAGGCGAAGCUCAAGGGGAGACCGCAACCUCAGGCCAUCCACCAAGCACCACCACUUGGUGUGAUGGCACCAGCUCCACCCGUCUCUCUCCCCUUCACUGCACAGCUUCCUACCGUGCCUGGACCCUUGCAGGUGAUGGUCUUCAACCCCCCAACUCCGUUGUGUAAGGAGUUGAUGCCACCAUCAACUCCUUACACAACACAACUGUACAGGAAAAAAAAAAGAGAAAUACGUGAGGAAGACAGGCGUGAUCCUUUGUAGAAAGUGCCAGCAGGAACGGAAGCCACCGUCACACCCACGGACGUAAUUUGGGGGGGGGGGGACACAGGGGACAUGUCCCCUGCGCUUUUUCAAAAGGCCGUUCUGGUCCCCUGCAGUUUUCACCGUCCGGAAACCAUGUUACGCUAUGGUAAACAGAGACUCGUCAGGCACUAGGACCAAGCGGAAACGGCCGCUCGAGCUGAAGCCAGUUUGCUUUCGUUUAGACCUGCCCACAAGCUCCUCCAUUGGCUCUGCAUUCCUUGUGUGAUUGGCCGUCCCCGCUGUCACUCCAUCAGGUUAUAAACAGCACCAGUACGCACACCGGUCUGCCAGUUGGGGAGGAGGCCGUGUUAAUCUUCCGCUGUAAAUUGGGCGUUUGUUCUGCCUGGGCCACGUCAGCUUUCACACCUUAAUUGCCACGAUCAUCCUGUAAGGCUUAACAAGACGAGAAACUACUAUAACUGCCUAAAAUGACAGUGGUUCUGUGUUACAUUCAUUUUAAAUAAAUUUGAUCGCUUGACUACUUAAACUGAAUUAUGGACAUUUUAUUCAAUUUCUCCCCACCUGUGAUAUUCCUGCCAGUUUGACCUGCCCACCACUGGGUAGUGCUAUGUAAAUGAGGUCUGUUUACCAUAUAUUCCAAAAAUAAGUGUAAAAUUGGUGCUACUGAGAUGGAGUGAAGUUGACUAACAAGGUGAAACACAGAAUUGGGUGAUAAUGUUUUGCUACAUGCUUUACAACCAGACAAACCAAAAAAGGGAACAGUAAACUUAAAAGUAGCAACAGAAAACUAGAACUACUAGAAAACACAGUGAACUGAAGAGUUUUAUAAAAAAAUAUUUGUGUCCCCCCCACCUCUGAACCUGCAAUACUUUGGGAACUGGUACUGUGAAGGGUCUGAGAGACAGUCCUAAAGUGAAUGGAGGGCUGUGCUGGAAUAACGAGGGUACGGGAAAAAGAAGUGAUAACUUCCUUUUCCCGGGUGGAGCUGUUGAAUUAUAAAACAUAAAACAAUCAAAGAGCAGUUGGUUGGGUGGAGCUGUUAUUCCAUUCCUGUGUAAUGUUAGCACACUGACAUUACAUUCCUUUGUAAUGUCCCUUAUGUAAUGUCUUGUUAUGUGUUAUCACUGUUGUUGUUUGAACUAUAUUAUGUAUGUUUUAUAUUAUAAAAAUAUAAAACUGGUUCGGAGGUUUCUGG
ensembl:lncRNA